GGAGAUGUAGCUCAGUGGUGGAGCCCUUGCCUAACACGUGUAAGACUCUGGAUUUGAUCUCCAGUAUUACCA
rnacentral:tRNA from 1 species